UACGAAGGGGGCUAGCGUUGCUCGGAAUCACUGGGCGUAAAGCGCACGUAGGCGGAUGUGUCAGUCAGGGGUGAAAUCCCGGGGCUCAACCUCGGAACUGCCUUUGAUACAGCACGUCUCGAGUCCGGAAGAGGUGGGUGGAAUUCCUAGUGUAGAGGUGAAAUUCGUAGAUAUUCGCAAGAACACCAGUGGCGAAGGCGGCUCACUGGCCCGGUACUGACGCUGAGGUGCGAAAGCGUGGGGAGCAAACAGG
rnacentral:rRNA from 1 species